rnacentral:rRNA from 1 species
AACGAACGCUGGCGGCAUGCCUAACACAUGCAAGUCGAACGGGAUCCUAGCUUGCUAGGUGAGAGUGGCGGACGGGUGAGUAACACGUGGGAAUCUGCCUUUUGGUUCGGGAUAACCGCGGGAAACUGCGGCUAAUACCGAAUGCCCUCGAGAGAGGAAAGAUUUAUCGCCAGAAGAGGAGCCCGCGUCCGAUUAGGUAGUUGGUGGGGUAAAGGCCUACCAAGCCGACGAUCGGUAGCUGGUCUGAGAGGAUGAUCAGCCACACUGGGACUGAGAUACGGCCCAGACUCCUACGGGAGGCAGCAGUGGGGAAUAUUGGAC